rnacentral:misc_RNA from 1 species
AUCUAUGUAAAUAAAUAAAUAAUCUACUUCAUUAAUGUCAACCAUUCUAAUCAGUAAUUUUGAUUUAACUUUACUCAUGGUUGAUGCAAGGCUAAGCAUAAUAUACAAGAAGCGAUAUUGAAAAUCUUGUGACAACCUCAAUAAAGCAGUAGAGAAAAGGCCCAAAAGUAUCCAAAGACACCCAACAAAAAUCAGAUCAAAAUGAAAGAGAAACAAAAAGUGGAAAGGAAUGGAAUAACGAAACGAGAUAUGUUCCAAAACUGUGCCCCCACCUUCCACUCUGAAGUGGAAGCAAAAU